UUUAAAGAGAGUUUGAUCCUGGCUCAGGACGAACGCUGGCGGCGUGCCUAAUACAUGCAAGUCGAACGAACGGAGGAAGAGCUUGCUCUUCCAAAGUUAGUGGCGGACGGGUGAGUAACACGUGGGCAACCUGCCUGUAAGUUGGGGAUAACUCCGGGAAACCGGGG
rnacentral:rRNA from 1 species